AUGGUGCGAUUCCCCGUUCUGUAUGGCUGGCUGCUUGUGGCUGCUGUGGCUGCAGAUGCCGCUGCAAGCCUGGUAGAGCAAAGGCCCCGGUGGGUCCUAGUACCCCGCGGACAGUCUGGGACCCUGCAUUGCAUCCUGAAGAAUUCCCAGUACCCCUGGAUGAGCUGGUACCAACAGGAUCUCCAGGGGCAGCUACAGAGUCUGGCCUCUCUGCGUAGUCCUGGGGAUGAGGAGGCCAUAUCCCGUCCUGGAGCAGAUUACCUGGCUACACGGGUCAGUGACACGGAGCUGAAGCUGCAUGUGGCCAACGUGACCCAGGGCAGAACUCUCUACUGCACCUGCAGCAAAGACACAAUGAGAAACCUUCCUUGA